GGGGCCGGCGCCGGGAGCCGCCCCAGCGACGAGGCCGCCUGAGCCGCGGCCUCGCUUUCGGGGGGGGGGGGUGAUGGAAAGAGGCAAUGGCGGCGGCUACCAGAAGCCGGGCAGGGCUCGGGCCCGUCCCCCCCCCCCCCCGCAGCCCUCCCGCGCGGGAAAGCGCGACCACGGCCUCGUGCGCCCUCGGCCUCGCCGCCUCCACAUGCCGUGUGGCGUGGGCGGCCGGCAGCCUGCCUCGCCCCGCCGCCCUGGGCCUUCUCCUGUGCUCGAAAUAUACCUUGCGCCGCCUUCCACACCCAACCCGGUACUGAUAGAUGAGGAAGCAUUUCACAUUAAGUUUUACCGUUUAUACAUGGGAGUGGACUCAGAGCACUGUUCUCAUGGCAUUUGUUUCUGAUCUAGUAAUGCCCAGUUCCUCAAGACUAACAAAGGCCAAAGGAAGUCAUGCAGAGAAAAUACUUUGAAUAUCACAAUUGUUACCUAUAUUUUUAGCCUAUCUCUAUGAAAAGCUAUUUCUGAGUUGGAUGCUGGAUCUUAUAAAAUAACUGGUGUUUCUUGCACAAUUUAUAAAGAACUGCCACAGACCUAAACGUGUUAUGGCUCGCAGGAAAGCCACUGUAAUUUGAAGGAAUGUGCUAAUUAAGAAAUAUAAUGCAAAUGUGAAUUCAGAGAUGCACCGUCCCAGAUGGUCAAGGAGGAAAAGACAGCCCUAGAGUGGCAGGUUGGGAAGCUAAAUCCCCCUCCACAAGGUAGCAGAGGCACAAAAAAGACUAAGGGCAAUCUUUAUUCUUAUGUAUGAUCUAAAAUUUGCAUUUCUUUUCUUCUUCUUUUUUUUUUUUUAUUUUUUUUUUUAAUUUUUAGCCCUGUGUGAUAACUGACAAAUUAGGAAGAAAAAAAAAUCUUCAUGCUUUCUUUAGGAGAUUUGAAUUUGUCACUUUGGGUUCGUUUCAUGAUCAAAAAUAAACCAUUUAACUUGGUAGUCGUGAAUGACUCUAAAGAACAUGUGGUUGAUUACAAAGCAACUCUCUGGGCUUCAGUAGGGCUGGUUUUUUUCACUUUUUUCCAGUACAUCCAUUUGGUCAGGAUGGGCUUGUGAGUCAAGCAGCCUUUUGUCACAGAUUUUGGACAUGUAAUACAGUCGUAAGCGAUGCCCAGUUGCAUCUGAGAUUUUCACUUCUAAUUUUUCCUCCUGCUUAGUGUUGUUUGUGAUUGCUUUUUAGCUGGGGGAGACUAAUUCUUUUUGGUGAUAGUUGUGUCAGAGGGUGUGUAUGUGUGAGUAUGUAUGUAGGCCGGCUGGCUGGCAAAUAUUCUGAGAUGCAUUUUAUUUAUA